rnacentral:tRNA from 2 species
GGAGAGAUGGCUGAGUGGCCGAAAGCGGCGGAUUGCUAAUCCGUUGUACGAGUUAUUCGUACCG